GGUCAGCGGGGCGCUGUGUGUGGGCGCCUCGCGUCGCUCGCGUUUGGAGCCAGUGGCAGCCGAUGUGGGGUUGACUGAGCUAAAUUCAUGUGAAUGUCUUUGAUGGCCGCAGUUGGCACAUCCUAAUUCUUAGGUUGUGAGAGAGUGAAUGACUUUUGUGUUGGCUUUUGGGAUGCCACCGUGGUUUUGCCGCCUUCUCCUUCGCUGCCCCUUUUUCUAUGCUGGAGAAAAUAUAUCUGAGCUGAUACAGGAUGCUGUCAGCACUUGGUGCUCCUGCACAAGGCCACUAAGGCCAUACAGACCAACCGCCAACCGUUCCCACUAAACCAUAACAGUGCUGAGCUGUGGCCUCGUGGUUUGGUAGCUUGCAGCCCGUGUGUGAAACUCGCUGGAGUUGCACAUGGACUUGGGAUGGCCAGGAGAUCUGGGUGCUGCGCGAAGCAGGAAUGGUGAAUGACGCUGGGGAGGGGAGCCCUCUGGAAACUGUGACGGCUUGUGUGUGUUGCAACUACAUCUGAUUAGUUCAUCAGGAGCCGGUGUCAGCCUGGUACAUCUAAGAGCUGAGUGAGCCUGGAUGCAGUCCAGCUGCUGCCUUGCCCUAUAGGGCUGAAGUGCUCAGCCUUGCUGAACCAGACGUGUGUCUGGGUGUGCCUGAUCUGUGUUGCUCUUAUCAGGAGAGCUAAGCAGCCCAGCGCAGCGGGUGUCCUCGCAAAAGUGCAACCCUGAUUCUGCAUGGCUGAUGCUCAGCUGGAGGUAAAGGUUUAGCCUGGAUGCUGCGGCAUCAUUUGUGCCUCUGUGCUCUGCUCUACCAGGAGAUAAGCUCAGGUGGUCCUGGGUCCAGGCUGGGUUUGUGCUGUGCCCAACCAGGGUCUCAGACUGAGUUCAGCCUGGGGUUAGUAACAUCAGUACGACUUCAGAGCCACUCAGAUGAAUCCAAACUUUGCUGAUUAGCACAGCAUAGGGAUAACUGGGCAAGCUUUGCAAGACGCAUUCAUAUUCCAUGCCGCGUGAAAGUACUUGUACGGAUGUGAAUCUGCAGGGCCCUGAGAUGCAGCCUGAGCUGAUGAACUCAAUCAGACCCAAAUUGGCUCUGCAUGGAACUUGCCUGGUGCCUCUGGCCCUUCAGCAUUCUUGAUUUGCUGCUCAUCAGCUGUGGUAUAGCUGAAUGUUGACUUUAUCUACUGCUGUACUUGGAUGCAUAAUCUAAAAUGUGUUGAUUGGGCAAAAAAUCACUAGGAGAGAAGUUUAUAGAGAGAUUCAGUAGCACGGGGAAUGGUGUUUAAGACCAGGCCCACGCCUCGACACUGCCAUUUAUCUUUCUUUCGGAUAAGGGAGCAGAUUCACAGGAAUGUGGAAUUUAGUACUGUUGAAAACUGGGUACAAUAUUAAACUUUAACCGGGCUUGUGCGUUUUCCAGUAUUUGUAACAGUCAGAUAUUUGUGUUCCUUCAUUGUAUGUUACGAUUCUGAUCUAGCAAAGCACUUAAAUUAUGUUCUGUAGAGCUUUGUUGGAUCAGGGCCACUGUCAGUACUUCCAAAAAGUAAAGCCUAAAGCAGUCUCUGAAAUAUUUGGCUAGAGAUGGUCUAGCAUUAUUCCUCACCCAUAAGGAUCUUAUCUGGACCCUCCCGUAGGAACUGAAAUAGCAAAUGUCAUGUAUGCAGCCUUGGCAGUCAGUUUUGAACUUGGAGGGCUUCUUAUGGUGAAGUAGUGUGGGCCAACAUGCCUAUUAGACAUGUUCAGAGCUUUAUAUGCUUUUCUUAUCCGUUUGAAACACAAACAAUUCCUGCUUUCCAAAUCAGGCCUUGCCAUGUAUUAUGAUGGCAGCGGCAACUUGAUAAAAAUAAUAUGGAAAUCAUAGUCUUUAGUUGCCUACAGAGUGUGCUUUGUCCAAGAAGGAAAAAAUCUGCUAUUCUAAAAUUAACUAAAUAAUUGUUUUAAAAGCAUUAAAAUGUUGUAAUCAACUGUU